UAGGGAAUCUUCGGCAAUGGACGAAAGUCUGACCGAGCAACGCCGCGUGAGUGAAGAAGGUUUUCGGAUCGUAAAACUCUGUUGUUAGAGAAGAACGACGAGGAGAGUGGAAAGCUCAUCAAGUGACGGUAACUACCCAGAAAGGGACGGCUAACUACGUGCCAG
rnacentral:rRNA from 1 species